UACGGGGGGAGCAAGCGUUGUUCGGAAUUACUGGGCGUAAAGGGUGCGCAGGCGGGAGAUUAAGUUGGGUGUGAAAACCUCGGGCUCAACCCGGGGCCUGCACUCAAAACUGGUCUUCUUGAGUAUCGGAGAGGAAAGCGGAACUCCAGGUGUAGCGGUGAAAUGCGUAGAUAUCUGGAGGAACACCGGUGGCGAAGGCGGCUUUCUGGCCGAAUACUGACGCUCAUGCACGAAGGCUAGGGGAGCAAACAGG
rnacentral:rRNA from 1 species